rnacentral:sRNA from 1 species
GGCCUGCUGCGGACAGAUGAAGUGGAUAUGCGCAUCGAUACCGCCGGCGGUGAGAAUCUUGCCCUCCCCGGCGAUGAUUUCGGUACCCGGCCCGAUCACGAUGUCGACGCCCGGCUGGACAUCGGGAUUGCCGGCCUUGCCGAUGUGGCUGAUGCGACCAUCCCGAAUCGCGACAUCGGCCUUGAUCACGCCCCAAUGAUCGAGAAUCAGGGCGUUGGUGAUCACGGUGUCGGCCGUGCCUUCCGCCCGGGCAGCCUGGCUUUGACCCAUGCCGUCAC